UCCUACGGGAGGCAGCAGUUAGGAAUUUUCCACAAUGGGCGAAAGCCUGAGCCGCGUGCAGGAUGAAGGCCCUAGGGUUGUAAACUGCUUUUAUACGUGACGUAUGAAUAAGGAUCGGCUAACUCCGUGCCAGCAGCCGCGGUCAUACGGAGGAUCCAAGCGUUAUCCGGAUUUACUGGGAAUAGUGAAAUCUUGUGGCUCAACCAUAAGGCUAUUAUUGAGAAUGAGAGAGGUCACUGGAAUUCCCUGUGUAGGAGUGAAAUCCGUAGAUAUAGGGAGGAACACCAAUGGCGUAGGCAGGUGACUGGCUCAUUUCUGACACUGAGGCACGAAAGCGUGGGGAGCGAACGGGAUUAGAUACCCCGGUAGUCCACGCCGUAAACGAUGGAUGCUAGCUGUUAGGAGUAUCGACCCUUCUAGUAGCGAAGCUAACGCGUUAAGCAUCCCGCCUGGGGAGUGAUUAAAACUCAAAGGAAUUGACGG
rnacentral:rRNA from 1 species